rnacentral:rRNA from 1 species
CGAAGACAACUAGGAUGUUGGCUCAGAAGCAGCCAUACAUUCAAAGAGUGCGUAACAGCUCACUAGUCGAGAGUUCCUGCGCCGAAAAUGUCCGGGGCUGAAACACGACACCGAAGCCGUGGACUCGCAAUGCGAGUGGUAGAGGAGCAUUCUUAAAACCGACGAAGCUGUACCGGAAGGAGCAGUGGAGGGAUAAGAAGAGAGAAUGCCGGAAUGAGUAGCGAGAGAAAGGUGGGAAUCCUUUCGGCCGAAUAUCUAAGGUUUCCAGAGUAAAGCUGAUCUGCUCUGGGUAAGUCGGGGCCUAAGCACAGGUCGCAAGACGUAAGCGAUGGAUAACAGGUUUAGAUUCCUGUACCACGCAUUAUCAGAACUGUAGGGACGCAUGUGGAAAGCACGAGCCGGGAAUGGAAAGACCGGUACAAGCGAGGUAGGUGUACAAUAGGCAAAUCCGUUGUAUAAUCCGAAGACGUGAUGUGGAGCGAAAUAAAGUAGUGAAGCGUGUGAGCCAUGUGCCGAGAAAAGCUGCUAUUGUGUAAUGCGUGCCCGUACCGUAAACCGACACAGGUGGAUGAGGAGAGAAUCCUAAGGCCGGCGGAAGAAGCAUUGUUAAGGAAUUCGGCAAAAUGACCCCGUAACUUCGGGAGAAGGGGUGCCUGCGAGAGCAGGCCGCAGAGAAUAGGCUCAAGCAACUGUUUAGCAAAAACACAGGUCUAUGCGAAACCGAAAGGUGAAGUAUAUGGGCUGACGCCUGCCCGGUGCUGGAAGGUUAAGAGGAGAGGUUAGCGCAAGCGAAGCUUUGAAUUUAAGCCCCAGUAAACGGCGGCCGUAACUAUAACGGUCCUAAGGUAGCGAAAUUCCUUGUCGGGUAAGUUCCGACCCGCACGAAAGGCGUAAUGAUUUGAGCACUGUCUCGACAAUGCAUCCGGUGAAAUUGAAGUACCAGUGAAGAUGCUGGUUACCCGCGCCAGGACGGAAAGACCCCAUGGAGCUUUACUCCAGUUUGAUACUGGGAUUCGGUACUGCAUGUACAGGAUAGGUGGGAGACGGAGAAGGAUGGACGCCAGUCUGUCCGGAGUCGCUGUUGGGAUACCACCCCUGUAGUACUGGGUUUCUAACCAGUUGCCAUGAACUGGCAAUGGGACAAUGUCAGGCGGGGAGUUUGACUGGGGCGGUCGCCUCCGAAAGGGUAUCGGAGGCGCUCAAAGGUUCCCUCAGAAUGGUUGGAAACCAUUUGAAGAGUGCAAAGGCAGAAGGGAGCUUGACUGCGACACCGACGG